rnacentral:misc_RNA from 1 species
UUUCCGUAGGUGAACCUGCGGAAGGAUCAUUAUUGUAUAACCGAGGUGCGAGGGCUGUCGCUGACCCGAAAGGUCGUGCACGCCCGAGUGCCCUCACACACAUCCAUCUCACCCCUAUGUGCACCACCGCGUGGGUCCCCCUUUGGCUUGUUCGGAGGGGGGCUUACGUUUUCACACAAACUUUGUAUGCAGUGUAGAAUGUAUUUUUUGUUUUUGCGAUCACGCAAUCAAUACAACUUUCAACAACGGAUCUCUUGGCUCUCGCAUCGAUGAAGAACACAAC